rnacentral:tRNA from 1 species
GAGGGUGUAGCUCAGUAGUAAAGCACUUUGUCCAGAAUGCACAAAGUCUGGGUUCAAGUCCUAGCAUCUACA